rnacentral:rRNA from 1 species
ACGGGUGAGUAACACGUGGGUAACCUGCCUCAAAGAGGGGGAUAGCCUCCCGAAAGGGAGAUUAAUACCGCAUAAGAUUGGUUUUUCGCAUGGGAAACUAAUUAAAGGAGUAAUCCGCUUUGAGAUGGACCCGCGGCGCAUUAGCUAGUUGGUGAGGUAACGGCUCACCAAGGCGACGAUGCGUAGCCGACCUGAGAGGGUGAUCGGCCACAUUGGAACUGAGACACGGUCCAGACUCCUACGGGAGGCAGCAGUGGGGAAUAUUGCACAAUGGGCGAAAGCCUGAUGCAGCAACGCCGCGUGAGUGAUGAAGGCCUUCGGGUUGUAAAGCUCUGUCUUUUGGGACGAUAAUGACGGUACCAAAGGAGGAAGCCACGGCUAACUACGUGCCAGCAGCCGCGGUAAUACGUAGGUGGCAAGCGUUGUCCGGAUUUACUGGGCGUAAAGGAUGCGUAGGCGGACUUUUAAGUGAGAUGUGAAAACCCCGGGCUCAACUUGGGGACUGCAUUUCAAACUGGAAGUCUAGAGUGCGGGAGAGGAAAGUGGAAUUCCUAGUGUAGCGGUGAAAUGCGUAGAGAUUAGGAAGAACACCAGUGGCGAAGGCGACUUUCUGGACCGUAACUGACGCUGAGGCAUGAAAGCGUGGGUAGCAAACAGGAUUAGAUACCCUGGUAGUCCACGCCGUAAACGAUGAGUACUAGGUGUAGGAGGUAUCGACCCCUUCUGUGCCGCAGUUAACACAAUAAGUACUCCGCCUGGGAAGUACGAUCGCAAGAUUAAAACUCAAAGGAAUUGACGG